rnacentral:rRNA from 1 species
GACGAACGCUGGCGGCGUGCUUAACACAUGCAAGUCGAACGGAAAGGCCCUGCUUUUGUGGGGUGCUCGAGUGGCGAACGGGUGAGUAACACGUGAGUAACCUGCCCUUGACUUUGGGAUAACUUCAGGAAACUGGGGCUAAUACCGGAUAGGAGCUCCUGCUGCAUGGUGGGGGUUGGAAAGUUUCGGCGGUUGGGGAUGGACUCGCGGCUUAUCAGCUUGUUGGUGGGGUAGUGGCUUACCAAGGCUUUGACGGGUAGCCGGCCUGAGAGGGUGACCGGGCACAUUGGGACUGAGAUACGGCCCAGACUCCUACGGGAGGCAGCAGUGGGGAAUAUUGCGGAAUGGGCGGAAGCCUGAGGCAGCAGCGCCGCGUGCGGGAUGACGGCCUUCGGGUUGUAAACCGCUUUCGCCUGUGACGAAGCGUGAGUGACGGUAAUGGGUAAAGAAGCACCGGCUAACUACGUG